UUGUGUUGUCGUGUGCUUGUCUUUUUGUUGUGUUUCUAAAAGCCUAAAAUUAUUUUAUAGAAAAUCUACUUUGGGUUUGACAAAUUAUUCUGGGUUUGAUUAAACCUAGCUUUUGCGAAAAACUAAAUUUGCAAAACCUAUAUUUUGUUUGAGGCUUUUGUUGGCCCAAAAGCCCACUUAGGCAAACCCUAACCCUAACUAUUUAAUCCCCUCUCCCUUUUCCUUUUCUUUUUCUUUUUCUUUCUCCCCUUCUUCCUCCUGCCACUGCCACUGCCACCUUCUUCUCCCCUUUCUUCUUCCUUCUUCCCCGCUGCCUUCUUCCAUGGCCGACGCCCCCCUUCCUCCUGAGCUCGCUCCCCACGCGCGCCCCCGGCGCCUCUCUCUCCCGAGCCUCAAGCGCCUGCUGCCUCCCCGCGCGCGCGCCUCCCGCGUCCACCUUGCCGGCCGCUCCGCCCUCUGCGUCGCCGAGCCCCUCUUCACCGGAGCCGCCUCCCCGUCGGCCACGUCCGCCCCACGCGCCGCUCUCGCUCUCCUCACGGCCUUGCCUCGCGCGCACCUCCCGCUCGCCCCCUCCUCUGUUCUCUGUCGCGUGCGCCGCCAGCGCCCAGCUCCGUCGUCGGGGACCGACCUCCCGUGCCCAGAACUCCCCACGCCUGCCCGUGCCUCCGCCUGGCCGCCCGGGCGCCCCCUCUCCCCCGAGCGCCGCCUCCACCUCGUCGCCGCGUCCGCCCCGCGCGAUUCCUCUGCCCUUCUCUAGUUCUAGCUCCUUUAGACUCUUCAAGCUCUUUUUCAGACUUUUGAGCUGUUUCUCACUAAGAUCUAGGCGCCAUUCUCUUCCAAGAUCAUAAAUAAGUUGUGGCGUAUGCGUCUCGCCAACUUCGUUUUCACGAACAUACAACUAUCCGACUCAUGAUCUUGAAUUCUUGCACUCUCUCUCAAAGUCUAGUGACAUUACUUGCUCGGCAACCGUUGCAAAAUCUUUUUCGAGAAACAAAUCCUCAAGUAUGUUUUCACCACAUGAUCUUAAUCUCAGACCGUGACGCUGAAUGGAGAACAUCGAAGACUUUGUUUUGACAAUUUCACACUUCGGGCAAAGCUAUUGUUAUGGCUGACGCCUUAGUCGCAAAUCUUUUUGCAACAACCUCGUGUUUAAGGUUUGCCAACCUGCUCUGCAUGAGAAACUUGUGAAACUGAACCUUGAACUCAUUCCACGAGGUUAUCUUGCCAACCUGAUUGUUAAGUCAACGUUGGAAGAAAAAUUCGGAAUGCUCCACUUUUUGUUUCUCCUUGCCCAUAAGCUCAUUUAUGAGAUUAUUGUUGGUAAUUCCGUGUCCAAGAGUUUCACGACUGAUGACAAAGGGAUUGUGUUCUUUAAGGAUGCAUUGUUGUUCCUAAUCAUCAAGGUCGAAGAGAUUUCUUUCUCAAAGAUGCUCAUGGCACUCCUCUCCUUUUUCACCCAGUUGCACUAAAAUCAAGACUAUGGACUUGGUAUAUGCACCUGGUGAUCAAUCUUUCUUCGUGUUACUUCAUUGCAAGGUACACACCAUUCCGGUACCCAGGACAUGUUUGAUCUGCGAUACAUUCGUAUUUUCAAGUUUCUUGUUUGCUUCAACCUUCCUCCAACCUCUCCAAGGUGCACGUUGUGUUUCACGUGUCCUAUGCUCUGCUUCGCUUCUAUAUCUAGUCCUUGACCUUCCUAACCGGAGCGUCUGGUUCACAUCCUUCGUGAAGCCGAAUGUCGCUCUUCGACAAGACCGUCAACCUCUUCAAGGACAAGCGUUGCAACGUGAAGACCAUCGUUGAACCGAGUAUUCCACUUCCUUCCUUUCCUUCUUUUGGAAUCUCGGGACGCGAUUCCUUUGAGGGGGGGAGAGUUGUAACAGCAAGAGAGCAACCCUUUUCUUUUAAGCCCUUUUGGACUGUUUUGUAAUUUAAUUAUCUUCAUCAUCUGUCAUGCUCAUGUCAUCAUAAUUAUGUUUGCCAUGUCAUUAGCAUCAUGUCGCGUGAAAUAAUUAUUCGUUCGCACGAAAUGUCACUUCUUUGUGUUGUCGUGUGCUUGUCUUUUUGUUGUGUUUCUAAAAGCCUAAAAUUAUUUUAUAGAAAAUCUAAUUUGGGUUUGACAAAUUAUUCCGGGUUUGAUUAAACCUAGCUUUUGCGAAAAACUAAAUUUGCAAAACCUAUAUUUUGUUUGAGGCUUUUCUUGGCCCAAAAGCCCACUUAGUCAAACCCUAACCCUAGCUAUUUAAUCCCCUCUCCCUUUUCUUUUUCUUUUUCUUUCUCCCCUUCUUCCUCCUGCCGCCGCCACCUUCUUCUCCCCUUUCUUCUUCCUUCUUCCCCGCUGCCUUCUUCCAUGGCCGGCGCCCCCCUUCCUCCUGAGCUCGCUCCCCACGCGCGCCCCCGUUGCA
rnacentral:lncRNA from 1 species